AUCAGCUCAAACAGCGAGCUAUUGAUAACUUAUUUAGUUCAAGAUCUUCUCAGUUCUCUUUCGAUUUGAUUCAUCAUAUCUAUCCUGCGAUACCUUUUUCUUCAUUCCUUAUUUAGUAGCUCUCUUUUUAACUCAAUCAAUCUAUCGAGAUAUGCAUGUCAAAUAAAACAACUGGUUCAGUAAAAUGGUUUAACGAAACAAAAGGCUUUGGAUUUAUCGCACCAGAUAAUGGCACUGCUGAUGUAUUUGUUCAUUUCAGAUCAAUUACCAGCGAUGGCUUCAAAACACUAGCGGAAGGCCAAAAAGUUUCGUUUAACGUAGAGCAAGGUGGCAAAGGCCCACAAGCAGCUAACGUUACUGUACUGUAAGCAUUCUGGUGAGAUCUUACUGACUUCCUAGUUACGGUGAGAUCUCU
rnacentral:sRNA from 1 species